UUUAAGGUGGCGACUGACUAGUAACAUUUCGGUGUAAUGUAUCGUUCGCGGCGAUCGUGUUACAUUACAGUUACAUUACAGCUACGCGGCGAACGCUCGCCCUGAGCGCUCUGUUCGUUUGUGCUCCAUUCUGUUUCAAAAUGUCGGAUAUGGAGGUCGCGUGUGCUUCACUUAUUGUACUAAGUUAUUGCUAUCUAAAAUACAAGAAGAAAAAAACGAAACGAUAUUGGAUAUCUAAUUUGUACCAAAGAAGGAACUAUGAUACGAAUAUAAUGAAUAUUCUUCGAAACCAAGAGUUUACUGGACAAUACAGAAACUUUAUUAGAAUGUCGUCUACCGAUUUCGACCGACUCAUUAAUUUAAUUGGACCGUUAGUGGGCAAGCAAGAUACAAGAUUGAGAAAAGCUAUAUCUGUUACAGAUAGGCUAGCAGUUACACUACGUUUUUACGCUUCUGGAGAUUCUUUUACAAGCUUGCAAUAUCUUUUUAAAAUUUCUAGACAGAGAAUAGGCUUCAUAGUAAAGGAAGUCAGUGAAGCAAUAGUGAAAGUAUUGAAGAAUUGUAUAAAGAUGCCAACAACACCUGAGGAAUGGCAAGGUUUAGUACAACAAUAUGACACAUUAUGGAAUUUCCCCCAUUGCCUGGGCUCUAUGGAUGGCAAACAUGUAAUAAUACAAUCACCGAUGAAUAACUUAGCAGAGCGAGAAGAGUAGUGGAAAACGUAUUUGGUAUAGUUUCAGCAGUUUUUCGAGUGUUAAGAAAGCCUAUGUUAUUAGAACCAAACCACGCCUCUUCAGUAGUAAUGGCAAUAACGCAUCUUCAUAACUAUCUCAGAAAAAGUGAUGAAUCCAGUGACAUUUACACACCUUCAGGGACAUUUGAUCAUGAAAUAGAAGGAGUUGUUAGACCAGGAAAUUGGAGAAACGACAGCGAACUUACAAGCCUUUUCGCUUUGGAGAGGCGACCGCGUAGAACAAGUACAACAGCGAAACAAAUACGCCACG